rnacentral:rRNA from 1 species
CGGAGGAUGCGAGCGUUAUCCGGAUUUAUUGGAUUUAAAGGGUGCGUAGGCGGGACCAUAAGUCAGCGGUGAAAGUUUUCGGCUCAACCGGAAAAUUGCCGUUGAAACUGUGGUUCUUGAGUGCAGAAGAGGUAGGCGGAAUUCGUUGUGUAGCGGUGAAAUGCGUAGAUAUUAGGAGGAACACCAAUGGCGAAGGCAGGUCUCUGGGCAGUUACUGACGCUGAGGAGCGAAAGCAUGGGUAGCGAACAGGAUUAGAUACCCUGGUAGU